rnacentral:rRNA from 1 species
GAUGAACGCUGGCGGCGUGCCUAAUACAUGCAAGUCGAGCGAACGGACGAGAAGCUUGCUUUUCUGAUGUUAGCGGCGGACGGGUGAGUAACACGUGGAUAACCUACCUAUAAGACUGGGAUAAAUUCGGGAAACCGGAGCUAAUACCGGAUAAUAUUUUGAACCGCAUGGUUCAAAAGUGAAAGACGGUCUUGCUGUCACUUAUAGAUGGAUCCGCGCUGCAUUAGCUAGUUGGUAAGGUAACGGCUUACCAAGGCAACGAUGCAUAGCCGACCUGAGAGGGUGAUCGGCCACACUGGAACUGAGACACGGUCCAGACUCCUACGGGAGGCAGCAGUAGGGAAUCUUCCGCAAUGGGCGAAAGCCUGACGGAGCAACGCCGCGUGAGUGAUGAAGGUCUUCGGAUCGUAAAACUCUGUUAUUAGGGAAGAACAUAUGUGUAAGUAACUGUGCACAUCUUGGCGGUACCUAAUCAGAAAGCCACGGCUAACUACGUG